rnacentral:rRNA from 1 species
AUUGAACGCUGGCGGCAGGCCUAACACAUGCAAGUCGGACGGUAGCACAGAGAGCUUGCUCUCGGGUGACGAGUGGCGGACGGGUGAGUAAUGUCUGGGGAUCUGCCCGAUAGAGGGGGAUAACCACUGGAAACGGUGGCUAAUACCGCAUAACGUCGCAAGACCAAAGAGGGGGACCUUCGGGUCUCUCACUAUCGGAUGAACCCAGAUGGGAUUAGCUAGUAGGCGGGGUAAUGGCCCACCUAGGCGACGAUCCCUAGCUGGUCUGAGAGGAUGACCAGCCACACUGGAACUGAGACACGGUCCAGACUCCUACGGGAGGCAGCAGUAAGGAAUAUUGCUCAAUGGCCGAAAGGCUGAAGCAGCAACGCCGCGUGGAGGAUGAAAUACUUUUGUAUGUAAACUCCUGUAAGGGGGGAAAAAUAUCCGCUUUUAGCGGAUUGAUUGUACCCUCAGAGUAAGCACCGGCUAACUACGUGC